UACGGAGGGUGCGAGCGUUAAUCGGAAUUACUGGGCGUAAAGCGUGCGUAGACGGUUAUUUAAGUCGGAUGUGAAAGCCCCGGGCUCAACCUGGGAAUUGCAUUCGAGACUGAAUAGCUAGGGUACGGUAGAGGGAAGUGGAAUUUCCGGUGUAGCGGUGAAAUGCGUAGAUAUCGGAAGGAACAUCAGUGGCGAAAGCGACUUCCUGGACCAGUACCGACGUUCAGGCACGAAAGCGUGGGGAGCAAACAGG
rnacentral:rRNA from 1 species